rnacentral:rRNA from 2 species
CUCCUGGGAAGUCUUCGUGUUGCACCCC